UUCACUGUUCCCUGGGAUUGGCUUUGGGCUUUUCCUGCGCAGCUUAGGUGGAGGGCGAAGAAGGCCUCCUUCCGGGGGGGCUCGAGCCAUCAGUGAGAUACCACUCUGGAAGAGCUAGAAUUCUAACCUUGUGCCAGGACCUACGGGCCAAGGGACAGUUUCAGGUAGACAAUUUCUAUGGGGCGUAGGCCUCCCAAAAGGUAACGGAGGCGUGCAAAGGUUUCCUCGGGCCAGAAGGAGAUUGGCCCUCGAGUGCAAGGGCAGAAGGGAACUUGACUGCAAGACCCACUCGUCGAGCAGGGUAUAUUGAAAAUCAAACAAAAUUGUAUGCAUUCCACAGAACAAA
rnacentral:ncRNA from 1 species